rnacentral:rRNA from 1 species
AGCGAACGCUGGCGGCAGGCCUAACACAUGCAAGUCGAACGAAGUCUUCGGACUUAGUGGCGGACGGGUGAGUAACACGUGGGAACGUGCCUUUAGGUUCGGAACAACUCAGGGAAACUUGUGCUAAUACCGAAUGUGCCCUUCGGGGGAAAGAUUUAUCGCCUUUAGAGCGGCCCGCGUCUGAUUAGCUAGUUGGUGAGGUAAAGGCUCACCAAGGCUACGAUCAGUAGCUGGUCUGAGAGGAUGACCAGCCACAUUGGGACUGAGACACGGCCCAAACCCCUACGGGAGGCAGCAGUGGGGAAUCUUGCGCAAUGGGCGAAAGCCUGACGCAGCCAUGCCGCGUGGAUGAUGAAGGUCUUAGGAUUGUAAAAUCCUUUCACCGGUGAAGAUAAUGACUGUAGCCGGAGAAGAAGCCCCGGCUAACUUCGUGCCAGCAGCCGCCGUAAAAC